UACGGGGGGGGGCAAGCGUUGUUCGGAAUUACUGGGCGUAAAGGGCUCGUAGGCGGCCAACUAAGUCAGACGUGAAAUCCCUCGGCUUAACCGGGGAACUGCGUCUGAUACUGGAUGGCUUGAGAUUGGGAGAGGGAUGCGGAAUUCCAGGUGUAGCGGUGGAAAUGCGUAGAUAUCUGGAGGAACACCGGUGGCGAAGGCGGCUCUCUGGGCAGAUACUGACGCUGAGACGCGAAAGCAUGGGGAGCAAACAGGG
rnacentral:rRNA from 1 species